GUUGGAAAUGAGUGAAUUUAAUGUAUUUAAAUGGUUGUUUAAGUUGAAUAUUGAAUAUAAACUAUGGAUUGGUGUUUGGAAUGCAUUAAAGUUGAAUUGCAUGAAAGUUAGGGUUUGCACCUAGGGUUUGGAAGACAAAAGUGUGAAAAUUUGUUAAAUGGUGUGUUUGACCUUGUUUAUGGUGAGAAAUGGUCAUUUGUGAC
rnacentral:misc_RNA from 1 species